rnacentral:rRNA from 1 species
AUUGAACGCUGGCGGCAUGCCUUACACAUGCAAGUCGAACGGUAACGGGCCUUCGGGUGCCGACGAGUGGCGAACGGGUGAGUAAUACAUCGGAACGUGCCCGAUCGUGGGGGAUAACGAGGCGAAAGCUUUGCUAAUACCGCAUACGAUCUACGGAUGAAAGCAGGGGACCGCAAGGCCUUGCGCGGACGGAGCGGCCGAUGGCAGAUUAGGUAGUUGGUGGGAUAAAAGCUUACCAAGCCGACGAUCUGUAGCUGGUCUGAGAGGAUGAUCAGCCACACUGGGACUGAGACACGGCCCAGACUCCUACGGGAGGCAGCAGUGGGGAAUUUUGGACAAUGGGCGCAAGCCUGAUCCAGCCAUGCCGCGUGCAGGAUGAAGGCCUUCGGGUUGUAAACUGCUUCUGUACGGAACGAAAAGCCUUCUUUUAAUACAGGAGGGUCAUGACGGUACCGUAAGAAUAAGCACCGGCUAACUACGUG